UCAGCAGCCGCGGUAAUACAUAGGGUGCAAGCGUUGUCCGGAAUUAUUGGGCGUAAAGAGCUCGUAGGUCGUUUGUUACGUCGGAUGUGAAAACCUGAGGCUCAACCUCAGGCCUGCAUUCGAUACGGGCAAACUAGAGUUUGGUAGGGGAGACUGGAAUUCCUGGUGUAGCGGUGGAAUGCGCAGAUAUCAGGAGGAACACCAAUGGCGAAGGCAGGUCUCUGGGCCAAUACUGACACUGAGGAGCGAAAGUCUGGGGAGCAAACAGGAUUAGAUACCCUGGUAGUCCAGACCGUAAACGGUGGGCACUAGUUGUGGGAACCUUCCACGGUUUCUGCGACGCAGCUAACGCAUUAAGUGCCCCGCCUGGGGAGUACGAUCGCAAGAUUAAAACUCAAAGGA
rnacentral:rRNA from 1 species